rnacentral:rRNA from 1 species
GAUGAACGCUGGCGGCGUGCCUAAUACAUGCAGGUCGAGCGAACAGAUGAGGAGCUUGCUCCUCUGACGUUAGCGGCGGACGGGUGAGUAACACGUGGAUAACCUACCUAUAAGACUGGGAUAACUUCGGGAAACCGGAGCUAAUACCGGAUAAUAUAUUGAACCGCAUGGUUCAAUAGUGAAAGACGGUUUUGCUGUCACUUAUAGAUGGAUCCGCGCCGCAUUAGCUAGUUGGUAAGGUAACGGCUUACCAAGGCGACGAUGCGUAGCCGACCUGAGAGGGUGAUCGGCCACCCUGGAACUGAGACACGGUCCAGACUCCUACGGGAGGCAGCAGUAGGGAAUCUUCCGCAAUGGGCGAAAGCCUGACGGAGCAACGCCGCGUGAGUGAUGAAGGUCUUCGGAUCGUAAAACUCUGUUAUUAGGGAAGAACAAAUGUGUAAGUAACUAUGCACGUCUUGACGGUACCUAAUCAGAAAGCCACGGCUAACUACGUG